UUCUUCCAGUCCCAAGACAGAGGGAAGGACGAGAGGAGCGGGCGCACACCUGACCCAGGCCCGCCCCCCGACCUACCCAGCUGGGAGAAACCCUCCUGAUUAGCUAUGUUGUGAUUGGAUCCUUUAUCUGUUCGGAGAGACGUGAACUGUAACACAUCCUAUGGACCUGGAGCGAGACGAUCCUAAAAGAGGUCUUCCCGAGAGAAGUGACUCCGGACUUCUGCCCAUGUGUGGGCGACACAGGACAGGAAGCCUUGUCCUGAAUGAUGGCCAGACACACUUGCCCAAACUGGAGUCGUCUUCCUCUGAGCUUCCUCUGCGUUUUUCCCGCUCUGGAGGCAUGAGUCCUUUUGCCUCACCCUGAACCGGGCGGAGGCUGCUGAUGGUCCGCAGUCCACCAGGGGGCGAGCAGGACGCGAGAGCGCCGCCUCGUGGGAAAAGGGUGCGUCCACCCAUAGACCCUGCUUAGGUGAUGGAGAGGGCUCAAAAGAGGCAUACCAAUUGAUAACAAUAAAGUCUCUCAAGACACCA